AAAGACUUAGUCCCAACCUUACCGUUAAUUCUUACCAGACACAUACAUGCAAGCAUCCGCACCCCAGUGUAAAUGCCCCCCCACCCUACCUAGGGCAGAGGGAGCGGGCAUCAGGCGCACCCCCCCCCCCCCCCCCCCCCAAGACGCCUUGCAUCCGCCACACCCCCACGGGCCCUCAGCAGUAGUUAACAUUAAGCAAUGAGCGCAAGCUCGACUUAGUCAUGGUAACACCCAGGGUCGGUAAAUCUUGUGCCAGCCACCGCGGUCACACAAGAGACCCAAAUUAACCGUCACACGGCGUAAAGAGUGGAGUCAUGCUAUCCACAAAACUAGAGUUAAAAUGCAACCAAGCUGUCAUAAGCCCAAGAUGCACUAAAAACCACCACCAAAGCGACCCUAGCCUGACACGGAUAAACAUUCCCCCACGAAAGCCUGGGCUCAAACUGGGAUUAGAUACCCCACUAUGCCAGGCCCUAAAUCCCAAUGCUCCUUUCACCAGAGCAUUCGCCAGGGUACUACGAGCACAAACGCUUAAAACCCUAAGGACUUGGCGGUACCCCAAACCCACCUAGAGGAGCCUGUCCUGUAAUCGAUAACCCACGAUACACCCAACCACCCCUUGCCAAACAGCCUACAUACCGCCGUCGCCAGCCCACCUUUUGAGAGCACAAUAGUGGACACAAUAGCCCAAAUCUGCUAAAAAGACAGGUCAAGGUAUAGCUUAUGGGGUGGAAGAGAUGGGCUACAUUCUCUGGCACCAGAGAAUCCCACGGAAGAGAGCAUGAAACCCCUGCCCUCAGAAGGCGGAUUUAGCAGUAAAGAUGGGGUCAUAGUACCCUCUUUAAGAUGGCCCUGGGGUACGUACAUACCGCCCGUCACCCUCCUCGCAAGCUUUUUUCCCCUAUAAAUAAUACCCCUCCGAGCUAAAGAUGAGGUAAGUCGUAACAAGGUAAGUGUACCGGAAGGUGCACUUAGCAUAU
rnacentral:ncRNA from 1 species